CACUAAGCACACAUGCAGAAACCAGGAGAUAAGGAGUUGCAAGAUCUCAAACCACUGGUGCUGAUGAAUUCAUCAAUAUGUUUUCAAAAGUGACUAGGAAGAAGAAAGUGAGAGAUCAGUUUGGGAGUCCCAGAUACAGCCUUUCUUAGGAAGUGCUAUGGACCUUCUCUCCAAAACUCAUCUGAAGUCCUGCAGGUAUUGUAACAGAUUGAGAAAUAGACACUUCUGCUUUUAAUGAAAGGUGCAUGGGGAUGGCUGCUCUGUUCUAGCACACUGGCUUUCAAGGAUGAGUUAAGAUGAAGGGAAAACAACUGGCAGGAUGAGAUUGUAGAUUCCCAGGAAAACUGAAUCAGUUGCACUGUGUUGCACUUGAAGAGGGCUGUAAGAAAGCAAGGCAGAAUGAGCCACUGGACAGGAGAGACCAUGAAAAAAACACAGUGGAAUU